CUCCAUUGGGAAUCUUAAUCUGCUAAAUGUUCUUGAAAUGCAAGAGAAUACAUUAGAAGGAAGCAUACCUAUUUCUCUGGGUAACUGUAAAGUAUUGCAACACUUGGAUCUUUCACAGAAUAGAAUUACUGGUGCAAUACUUGAAGAACUUACGGGCCUUCAAUCAUUCACUCUCAGUCUUUCUGAACUUAGCUCAGAACUGUCUCAGUGGACUUUUACCAACAGGGGUGGGUAACUUGAUAAAUCUUGGGAGAUUGGAUGUUUCAAACAAUAGAUUGUCUGGAGAGCUUCCAUCCUCCCUUGGCUUUUGUGAAGUUUUGGAGUUUCUGAGUCUGCAGGGCAACCUUUUUAAAGGCCCAAUUCCAUCAUCAUUGCAUCUAUUGAGAGGAAUUCAACUUCAAGAUCUUUCUAGAAAUUCUCUCUCUGGUAACAUUCCUGUGAGUCUUGCACUGUUUCGCUUGAUACAGUUUCUGAAUCCUUCUUAUGAUAUGUUGGAAGGAGAAGUGCCAAACGAAGGUCUUUUUAUGAACUCUACAAUGUUUUCCAUUGCUGGAAGUGAAAAGCCAUAUGGAAGUUUAGAGUCCGCAAAUAGCAAGUUUAACUUGAUUGGAGUUUUGAUCUUCACGUUUGAUGGUUUCCUUGUUUCUUUUCUCCUAGCAUACCUAACUGCUUUCUGCUGCUCCACAAGAAAGAGCAGAAUUUCUAGUACAUCUUCAGACUCUCCUCUGGGAGAUCAAUAUCUUAAACUUUCUUAUACAGAACUUCAUCAAGCUGCUGAUGGCUUUUUCCAACCAAUUUAAUUGCUGAGGGAAGAUAUAGUUCUAUCUACAAGGGAAUUUUCGAGUACAGUGAAGGAGCAGUUUCUGUGAAGGUACUGAACCUUCAACACUGAGGAACCAGAAAAGAGUUUUAUGCCUGAAUGUGAAGCUCUGAGGAAAAUUCGUCGCAGAAAUCUAGUCAAGAUAAUUACAUCUUUCUCAAGCAUUGAUUUCAGAGGCAACGAGUUCAAAGCCUUGGUUUAUGGGUUCAUGGCUAACGGGAGUUUGGAAAACUGGUUACAUCCAAAUUCUUCUAACUUACUGCAGCCAAAGAACUUGAACUUUAUUUGGAGGUUAAACAUUGCUGUAGAUGUUGCCUCAGCAUUAGAGUAUAUUCACCACUGCUGUGAAAUCCCACCCAAUCAUCGUGACAUAAAGCCAAGUAACCUGCUUCUCACUGAGCAACUUUGCGCUCAUUUAAGUGACUUUGGCUUUGCAAGUUGGUUGAGGUCACUGAUUUUCUUAUUUCAAUCUUCAAUUGUCACUCAUACUCAAACCAGAAGAUGUGCCAGUCAUAAAAUUGAAAGGUGUUUGGCUUCUUCUUUCCAUGUCAGAGUUUCGAGUUCAGCUCAGAGGCCAAGAGAAAGGAUGGAUGCAGUGGAUGCAUUGAUGAACCUAUAGGCGGCUAGGGAUGUAGUUUUUAAGCAUGAAUGCUCAAAAAUGAAGUGUCGUUUACUGCUCAUUCCCCAUCAAAAGUUGUUGAUAGUGCAGAUGAAAUUAGUGAAGGAUACCCGCUCCUGGGAAAUUGGAUACGUACGGCAAAAGGGAUUUUGACCAAAGGCCUAAGAGAGAGCUAGAGCCCAACAUCAGGGAGCAACGUUUACAAGGAAAACUGUAGGUAUCCACAGCAGCUGGAUUAAAAUUCUGGGAACAUUUCUCAUUUUUCAAACUACAUCCCCAUAGUCACUAGCUGUAAGAGAGUGAUUCUACAUUUACUUGCAAGUCGUAACCAGAAUUCUUAUCAGGAGGAGCUGAAAUGUCAUUGUGUGGUGUGAGCCAAGCUGCAAUGGGAGCCUGACAAACUAAAUAUAAUUUGUCAAGUUUCCAGCAAAUCUGGCAUUGGCACUACAUUAGCCAAAAUAAACAGUAGUUUAUUUCCCAAAAGGAGGUACU